rnacentral:tRNA from 2 species
GGGCCGUUAGCUCAGUUUGGUAGAGCAGCUGACUCUUAAUCAGCGGGUCCACGGUUCAAGCCCGUGACGGCCCA